UGGGGAAUAUUGCACAAUGGGCGCAAGCCUGAUGCAGCCAUGCCGCGUGUAUGAAGAAGGCCUUCGGGUUGUAAAGUACUUUCAGAGGGGAGGAAGGCGAUGUGGUUAAUAACCGCGUCGAUUGACGUUACCCGCAGAAGAAGCACCGGCUAACUCCGUGCCAGCAGCCGCGGUAAUACGGAGGGUGCAAGCGUUAAUCGGAAUUACUGGGCGUAAAGCGCACGCAGGCGGUAUGUCAAGUCGGAUGUGAAAUCCCCGGGCUCAACCUGGGAACUGCAUCCGAAACUGGCAGGCUUGAGUCUCGUAGAGGGGGGUAGAAUUCCAGGUGUAGCGGUGAAAUGCGUAGAGAUCUGGAGGAAUACCGGUGGCGAAGGCGGCCCCCUGGACGAAGACUGACGCUCAGGUGCGAAAGCGUGGGGAGCAAACA
rnacentral:rRNA from 1 species